rnacentral:lncRNA from 1 species
GAUUUUUAGGGGAAAUGGAGGUGAGAUAAUCUUGCACCGAAGCACAAAAUGCACUGUGAUGGUAUACCAGUACUCCCUCGUGCAGAUUCUCUUCCAGAUAUGGGAUAUCUGUACUCCAGGAUUGGACUGUAUAUUCAAUUCCAGAAGUAACUGUGCCUGGAAGUUCAAAACUAAGGAAGGCCUCUCUCACCAGAGAGAAAAACAAGAUCCUUGCCGUACAAGGUACUGGACUAACAUAGCCCUCUGA